AGCAGUCGCCGCGGGAAUACGGAGGGUGCAAGCGUUAAUCGGAAUUACUGGGCGUAAAGCGCACGCAGGCGGUCUGACAAGUCAGAUGUGAAAUCCCCGGGCUUAACCCGGGAACUGCAUUUGAAACUGUCAGGCUGGAGUCUUGUAGAGGGGGGUAGAAUUCCAGGUGUAGCGGUGAAAUGCGUAGAGAUCUGGAGGAAUACCGGUGGCGAAGGCGGCCCCCUGGACAAAGACUGACGCUCAUGCCCGAAAGCGUGGGGAGCAAACAGGAUUAGAUACCCGUGUAGUCCAUGUCUCUUAUAC
rnacentral:rRNA from 1 species